rnacentral:rRNA from 1 species
GAUGAACGCUAGCGGCAGGCUUAAUACAUGCAAGUCGUGGGGCAGCAUGACUGUAGCAAUACAGUUGAUGGCGACCGGCAAACGGGUGCGGAACACGUACACAACCUUCCUUUUAGUGGAGAAUAGCCCAGGGAAACUUGGAUUAAUACUCCGUAACAUAUAGAAGUGGCAUCACUUUUAUAUUAUAGCAGCAAUGCGCUAGAAGAUGGGUGUGCGGCUGAUUAGAUAGUUGGCGGGGUAACGGCCCACCAAGUCGACGAUCAGUAACUGGUGUGAGAGCACGACCAGUCACACGGGCACUGAGACACGGGCCCGACUCCUACGGGUGGCAG